AGGAGCCGCGGUUUGCGGCGGUGACAGCCGUGUGAGGAUAGCAAAAGUGCACGUCGUUCAUUAAGAUAUACUGUUCCUUCGAUUUAAUUCUUCGCAUGUAAUGAAUAAAACGAGUCGUCAGCCUCUCGACUAUGAUCACAUAAGUUCUGAUUUCUACGGUUCUUUCAUGUUAAUAGAAAUAAUGACAAAGGUAAAUAUAAUGAUAUUCUUUAAAUCACGAUAGAGAUAAAUAUAAAUGAUAUUUUUGUAUUUC
rnacentral:lncRNA from 1 species